rnacentral:rRNA from 1 species
CCUACGGGUGGCAGCAGUGAGGAAUAUUGGUCAAUGGGCGGAAGCCUGAACCAGCCAAGUCGCGUGCAGGAUGACGGCCCUACGGGUUGUAAACUGCUUUUAUACGGGAAUAACGCGCCUUACGUGUAGGGCUUUGCAUGUACCGUAUGAAUAAGGACCGGCUAAUUCCGUUCCAGCAGCCGCGGUAAUACGGAAGGUCCGGGCGUUAUCCGGAUUUAUUGGGUUUAAAGGGAGCGUAGGCGGCAUGUCAAGCGUGCUGUGAAAUGUCCGGGCUCAACCCGGGCCUUGCAGCGCGAACUGGCGUGCUUGAGUCCGCGGAAAGCAGGCGGAAUUCGUCGUGUAGCGGUGAAAUGCUUAGAUAUGACGAAGAACCCCGAUUGCGAAGGCAGCAUACCGGCGCGCAACUGACGCUCAUGCACGAAAGCGUGGGUAUCGAACAGGAUUAGAUACCCUGGUAGUC